CCUACGGGAGGCAGCAGUGGGGAAUAUUGCACAAUGGGGGGAACCCUGAUGCAGCGACGCCGCGUGGGUGAAGGAGUAUUUCGGUAUGUAAAGCCCUAUCAGCAGGGAAGAACAAUGACGGUACCUGACUAAGAAGCACCGACUAAAUACGUGCCAGCAGCAGCGGUAAUCCGUAGGGUGCAAGCGUUAGCCGGAUUUAGUGGGUGUAAAGGGAGCGCAGGCGGCGCGUUAAGCCUGGGGUGAAAGCCCGCGGCCCAACCGCGGGACUGCAUUGGGAACUGGCGGGCUGGAGUGCGGGAGGGGUAGGCGGAAUGCGUGGUGUAGCGGUGAAAUGCGUAGAUAUGAGGAGGAACACCAGUGGCGAAGGCGGCUUACUGGACGGUGACUGACGCUGAGGCUCGAAAGCGUGGGGAGCAAACAGGAUUAGAUACCCGAGUAGUC
rnacentral:rRNA from 1 species